CUACGGGGCGCAGCAGUGAGGAAUAUUGCGCAAUGGGCGAAAGCCUGACGCAGCGACGCCGCGUGGAGGAUGAAGGUCUUCGGAUCGUAAACUCCUGUUAAGUGGGAAGAAAGGCUCAUCCUUAAUAGGGAUGAGAAAUGACGGUACCAUUAGAGAAAGCACCGGCUAACUUCGUGCCAGCAGCCGCGGUAAUACGAGGGGUGCUAGCGUUAUUCGGAAUUAUUGGGCGUAAAGGGUACGCAGGUGGCAUGUUAAGUCAACCGUUAAAUCUUCCGGCUCAACCGGAAGCUCGCGGUAGAUACUGGUGUGCUAGAGGAUGAGAGAGAGAAGUGGAAUUCUCGGAGUAGCGGUAAAAUGCGUGGAUCUCGAGAGGAACACCAAUGGCGAAGGCAGCUUCUUGGCUCAUUCCUGACACUCAGGUACGAAAGCGUGGGGAGCAAACAGGAUUAGAUACCCUAGUAGUC
rnacentral:rRNA from 1 species